UUGACCUCGGAUCAGGUAGGGAUACCCGCUGAACUUAAGCAUAUCAAUAAGCGGAGGAAAAGAAACCAACAGGGAUUACCUCAGUAACGGCGAGUGAAGCGGUAACAGCUCAAAUUUGAAAUCUGGCUCUUUUAGGGCCCGAGUUGUAAUUUGUAGAAGAUGCUUUGGGUGUGGCUCCAGUCUAAGUUCCUUGGAACAGGACGUCAUAGAGGGUGAGAAUCCCGUAUGUGACUGGUGGCUUUCGCCCGUGUAAAGCUCUUUCGACGAGUCGAGUUGUUUGGGAAUGCAGCUCAAAAUGGGUGGUAAAUUUCAUCUAAAGCUAAAUAUUGGCCAGAGACCGAUAGCGCACAAGUAGAGUGAUCGAAAGAUGAAAAGCACUUUGGAAAGAGAGUUAAACAGUACGUGAAAUUGUUGAAAGGGAAGCGCUUGCAACCAGACUCGUAUGCUGCUGAUCAUCCGGGGUUCUCCUCGGUGCACUCGGCAGUCUUCGGGCCAGCAUCGGUUUGGGUGGUAGGAUAAAGACCUUAAGGAAUGUAGCUUCUCUCGGGGAGUGUUAUA
rnacentral:rRNA from 2 species